rnacentral:rRNA from 1 species
GUGUCAGCAGCCGCGGUAAUACGGAGGUGGCGAGCGUUGUUCGGAAUUACUGGGCGUAAAGGGCGCGUAGGCGGGGCGAGAAGUCGGGUGUGAAAGCCCUCGGCUCAACCGAGGAAUGGCGCUCGAGACUCUCGUUCUUGAGUCCCGGAGAGGACGGUGGAAUUCCCGGUGUAGCGGUGAAAUGUGUAGAGAUCGGGAGGAACACCGGUGGCGAAGGCGGCCGUCUGGACGGUGACUGACGCUGAGGCGCGAAAGCGUGGGGAGCAAACGGGAUUAGAAACCCGCGUAGUCC